UGAUAAGGAGGACUGCGGAACCCCAAGGUUCUACUCUGCCCUCUCCUCCAGCUUCCGCUAUCUGAAAACCGAAAGAAGCACUAAGACGCCGCUCUUCCGCAGAAGCCGGAUGGAAGAGGCGGUGUGGACCACCAAAGUCACAGUGCAAGACUGGACCCUAGUUCCGUAGCCUCUUCGCUCCAAGCUACUCCAGAGGUCAGUUCCCCCACCACACCGGUGGCCGGCCAACCUCGCCAAGGGCUCCCCAAGGUUGCAGCCAGACGGAACCACGGCCUCGCACGUGGCAAUAAGAGAAGAAUUUCCCCCAAGGUCGUGCCCAAGGCAGGUACAGUACCUGCCAGGAGGCGUGAGGAGAGAGUGUGAGGAGAUGCGGCCAUAAUUCACGAGUCUGGCCGCUCCCCGGGAUUCCCGUGUCCUCUCUCCUCACGGGCUGCCGGGCGCCGCCAUCUUCCUUCCCCGCCCCCCUGUGGGAGUAGUUCCGGGCCGUCACUUCCGGCCGGCAGGCUCCGGGAGGAGGGCGUGGUGGCCGUAGGUGAUCGCAACGUACACGCUGGAGUGUGGCGGGCUGACGGGUCUGAGACCUGAAGGACCCGGGAACCGCAAAGCACGGUGUGCCUCCGUUGUCCUGAAGAAAAAGCCGCGCGCAGACGACUGGCCGGCCCGCGCUCGCAGCUCCCAGACGUUGACAGGCAUCCUCGGGUGACCGGGUUGGCUGCUCCUUUGCUUUCAAAUAAGAUUUCUUCUCAGAAAGUCUACAUGUACUGAAUAAAAUCUGCAGUUUAUACAAUAUCACAUGACUUCAGAGUAAAUCCUAACUUUGUCAAAGCCUCGCUGAAUUUCCCACAAUAGAUAAAGACCCAGCUUUCCCUAGGAGCUAAAGGGAGAAAAAAAUCCCAACCUAGUGUGCAGGGUGUAACCAGUUGACACAGAACUGUGUAUUUGAAAACAAAAUAGAUUUCAAAACCUAAGGGGAGGCAAAUGAUUUGAGUAGAUUUUCUCCCAAGCAGACUUACAAAUGCCAAGAAGCACGAGGGAAAAAAAACCUUAGCAUCAUUAGUCAUUAGGGAAAUGCAAAACAAACCUACAAUGAGAUAUCAUUUCACAUCCACUUGGAUGGCUGUAAUCAGAAAGUCAAAUAAUAACAAGUGUUGACAAGGAUAUGGAGAAACUGGAACCCUCAAAGAUUGCUGACGAGGAUAUAAAAUUAUGUAGUCACUUUAGAAAACAGUUUAACUGUUCCAUAAUAAGUUAAACAUGGAACUGUAUGAUCCAGCAGUUCCUCUCCCAGGCAUAGACUCAAGACAAAUAGAAACAUACAUCCACACAAAAAUGUAUAUAUGAAUAUUUAUAGCAGUAUUAUUCAUAAUUGCCAAAAAGUGGCUACAACCCAAGUGUCCAUCAACUGAUUAAUGUAUAAAUGUUAUAUAUCCAUACAGUGGAAUGUUUGGCCAUAAAAUGAAAAUGGAGUACCAAUACAUGCCAUGAUAUGUAUGAACCACAAAAACAUACCAAGACCACAUAUUGGAUGGUUUCAUUUAUAUGAAAUGUCCAAAGUAAUUAAAUCCAUAGAGACAGAAAGUAGGUUAGUGGUUGCCUAUGGCUGGGAAGGUGGGUAGAGUUAAAAGAGAAGUGGCUGCUAAUGGGUACAAGGUUUAUUUAGGAUAGAGGAGGAUGAAAAUGUUCUAAAAUUGAUUUUAGUGAUAGUUGAAAAACUCUGAAUAUGUUAAAAAUCAUUGAAUUGUACACUUUAAAUAGGCACAUUGUAUAGAAUAUGGAUUAUCUACCAAUAAACCUGUUUUUAAAUUAGUCAGGAAGAGCUACUCAAGGAGAUCAAAGGUCCUGGUGUUGGACAGACAUCUACCAAUAGCUCUUCCCUCCUCAUGUAGAGUGGAAGAUGUAACUGUCCAGAAUAGACGCAUUUCCCAGCCUCUCUUGCAGCUUGGUAUGACUUUGCAAGUAAUUCUCAACAGUGGAAUGCAAGCGUAGGUAAUGUGUUUAAGUUCCAAGCGUCCUUAAUAAUGAGAUACCAGCCACAUAUUGAAGACAACGGAGCAAUAAAAUAGGCAGAGCUUGGGUCUCUACUGCUUGUGAAACUGCUGUAUCAGUCCUGGACUGGUUUCCUGAGGGACAAAUAAACUUCUAACUUGUUUAA